rnacentral:rRNA from 1 species
UGGGGGAUAUUGCACAAUGGGCGAAAGCCUGAUGCAGCGACGCCGCGUGGGGGAUGAAGGCCUUCGGGUUGUAAACUUCUUUUGCUCUGAACAAGGCGCACCAUGGGGUGUGUUGAGUGUAGGGGUUGAUUAGCGCCGGCUAACUACGUGCCAGCAGCCGCGGUAAUACGUAGGGCGCGAGCGUUGUCCGGUAUUAUUGGGCGUAAAGGGCUUGUAGGUGGCUGGUUGCGUCUGUCGUGAAAGCUCAUGGCUUAACUGUGGGUUUGAGGUGGGGACGGGCUGGCUUGAGGGCAGUAGGGGAGGCUGGAAUUCCUGGUGUAGCGGUGGAAUGCGCAGAUAGCAGGAGGAAUACCGGUGGCGAAGGCGGGUCUCUGGGCUGUUACUGACACUGAGGAGCGAAAGCAUGGGGAGCGAACAGG